CGUGAAGCUCUAGUUCCAUAACUUCUGGGAAGCAAUGGCCAGUCUCAGACUUAAGGAUUAAGAGAUUUAUACAAUAGAAGAUUAAAAUGCUUGAGGGUGGUGUUAAGAUAUUGUAAACUACUAAGAGUUUGAUGACAAAGAGAUUGCGCUCAGAAGAAGGUGAUGAAAAAGUGUUUUAAUAUAUGCUGUAUGGAGUAGGAAUGAUUCAUGCGGAGUUGAUGCUCAAAUUCUAAAACUCUUAAACUCUUAGCGGCAGGAGUCAUCUUAAGGUAAAACCAUAAUUUCUAUAAAUGAUAUUUCUUUUUUUUGAGACGGAGUCUCGCUCUGUCGCCCAGGCUGGAGUGCAGUGGCGCGAUCUCCGCUCACUGCAAACUCUGCCUCUCAGGUUCACGCCAUUCUCCUGCCUCAGCCUCCCGAGUAGCUGGGACUACAGGCACCCACGACCACAUCCGGCUAAUUUUUUUUGUGUGUUUAUUUUUAGUAGAGACGGGGUUUCACUGUGUUUGCCAGGAUGGUCUCGAUCUCCUGACCUCACGAUCCGCCAGCCUCGGCCUCCCAAAGUGCUGGGAUUACAGGCGUGAGCCACUGCACCCGGCCUUACAUUAAUCCAGAUGUGUUCAGAAAUGCCCUAUUUUUGUUAAUUGAUAGGUAUUAAUUGUCUCACUGAAUAUAGGAAGAAAUUAGUGACUUUAGUUUUAUUAAGGACUCUUCAUACUGUGAUUGAUUAUAGACUUUUGGAUUAGCUAAGACACUCCAGAUCUGACUGCACGGUCUAGCUCUUGAUGGCUAAUAUAGUAUAGCCACCAGCUACAUGCAUCUGUUUAAAUUUAGAUUCAUAUUAAUAUUAAUUAUAAUUAAUGACAUUAAAAAUCCUAUUCCUCAGUCUUACUAGCUACAUUUUCAGUGCUCAAAUGCCACCUGUGGUUAAUGGCUACCAUCCUGACAGUGCAGAUACAAAAAGAAGUCUUUGUUCAUCUCAGCAAAUACUACUGGAGAGCCCUGGUCUAGUAGAGGAUCACCACGGUACUGGGGUAGCCAGAAAUACAGAAUGCUUUAUUUCUGUGACUGCAUUCCUAAAUCUAAAUACCACGUUAGUUUGCUAAUGUUGAUAUAACGGUAAGAUUGUAUCAUGCAUGACAAAUAAUCAACUGUCUCAAAAGAUAGUAGUUGUAUUCUUGUAUGCAUUAAGUUUUUAAAGAUGAAGUAUGAGUUUUAGGGAAAUUGAAGACCAUUGAAACCCACAUGGUUAGAUAGAGUUACCUGUAAUCCAGUUAGUAAUGAAUUUCAAAAACUGUUGACUACAUUCUUUCAAUGACAAAAAAGAAGAGAUACUUCUUGUACUUGAACAUUGUAUAUUAAAAAUGGGGCAUAGAGGAAUAUGCUCUCUCUAUCCUAAUUUUAAUUCAACAACUUUUUGACUUUUAUCUUCAGAAAGAUUUUUGUAUUCAGAAAUGAACUUAGGCAUUAAAAAUAUAUAGGGAAUAGUAUACUCAAAGAUCCACUGUUAUUGGAUACAGUCUAUGAACUCACUCACUACAAAGGGUGACAAUGUUCAGCAGGAAGAGUCUGGGUGACAGGAGUAUGAAUUCAUCUGUGUGUUAUCACAUUGAGUGCUUAUGCAGAUUAUCCACUUUUAUCUCAGUUUAUGCUGGAUUUCUGAACCUGGCAUAUACUUCGGGACUGAACAGAUGGACUACUUGUAUUUUUGACUGGUAAGGCAAUUAGUAAACAAUGGCCCAAUAAGGGGAAAGCUCAUAAGAAAAGGUAACAUCACAGGAGGCUCAGUGACUAGAAAAGGUCGUCCAAAGAAAACCCUUGUAGAGAAAAUCGUAAGACAUAAUUGAGGGUGUGACAUCUACUUAGGACCCCACAUUCCUUCAUUGUGGAAAUGGCUAAUAUCAAUGGGAAGCAAUCAAUACUGCCUACAGACAGACUUACAAGCUAAAUUUCAUUAGGAAAGGCUUCACUGGCUGGUAAAAAAAAAAUUAAAUAAUAGGAUUAUAAGUGAUCAUUCAUAAUAUAUUACUAGAAUUUGUAUUCUGUUCACGAGGAGUAUGGGGAGGGUCGUCCAGGCCCAUGGGCUAUUGUUCUGUAAGACCUAUAACUCUGUGUGCCAUGAAGGGAUGGGAGAGAUGUGAAGAAUGAUUAAUAAAAGUCCUAGAAGCACAAGCGAGGAAGCAGAAGUUUGAGACAGUAGUGAACAGCAGGAAGAACACUUGACAUUUUUUCCUCCAUCAAUAGCUACUUAAGUAAGCAUGAAGUUCUGGGUUUCACAAGCUUGCUAUUUAGUGCUCCUGCAGGACCUGUUAAGAACACUAAAGACAAAUUAUACCUGAAAGGAACCCAGGGACCUGCACUGUCCAAUAUGGAGCCAAUAGCCACAUGUUACUAGAAAAUAAGUGCCUGAAAUGCGGGAAGUCCAAACUCAGAUAGGCUCUAAGCAUAAAAUGCAUAUCAAAAUGGAAAAAAAAUAGUAUGAUAAAAGUAUGCAAAAUAUCUCAUUAAUAACCUUAUAUUGAUUACAUGCUAAUAUGAUCUUGUUUUGCCUAUACAAAUGUGUUGUAUUCAGGGACUGAUUCAAUCAAUGAUUUUUUAUUCCAUUUUUUGUUUCAUUGCCUGCCCUAAUCUGACUCACUGCAAUUGUCCUAAUCUGACUCAUUGCAAAUUGUCCAGUUAAUUGUAUAUUUACUGGUUGAUGGAAAAGUGUCUAGUAGCUAUUGCUAUAUAGUAUGUUAAGCUCUAGCUAAAACCUAAAAGGUAUUCUUUGCCUUUAUACUAAUGACAUUGCUGUGGCAGGAAAUAAUGAAGUGAAUGCUAUUACAUAAAUAUUUGGUAUUAAUCCAUAUACAAAAUGUGAGUGCAGAAUUCACCCCUAAAGUACAAAUUUCUGCCCCCUAAAUCGGAAACUCUGGAGGUGCUUAAAAUUUGUGCAUUAACAAGCUCUGUAGGUUUCACUGAUGCCUGCUAACCUUUAAGAACCUCUGCUCUCACGGUAUUUUAAAUCUUUAUUCUGGAGGAAGGAUAUCAACCUUUUAGAAAUGGCUAGAUAAUUUAUUAUUGUUUUGCCAGAGAUCUCUAUCUCAGGAGAGUUUUUACUUAACAAAAUUACAUACAAGCCAUCAAGAGAAUGAGAGAUGAAAGGAAUAAUAUUCAUAACCAUAAGCUCUCCUAGGCCAGUUAUGAGCCUUUUCCUUUAGGUGUCUAUCACUGGGAACUGGAAGACUGAGAUGCAUGUCCACAGGAGGUGGGCUCAAUGGCAAUGUGAAAAAUUUUAGAGCUAUGAUAAUGGGAAUAUCUUGGGCUUCUUCAUCAAAUUCGCUUCCUCAUCUAGUCUUGUGUCAGAGUUGUUUGUAGGUUGGGUAGGUAUUAUUGCCCCAAUUUAUGAAGGGUAAGAUGUUUUAUAACUCUGUUAUCAUGACUGAGUGUAUUUCCAAAUGAACAAGAUAUAUUGAAUUGUUUCUGAAAAAUACCAUUGUUUGCAAAUUAUUAAGUCAAAAUAAUGUAAAAGUAUGGUGUGUUUUAAGUUGAAUGAUACUUGCUAAUUGUGAUUACAUGUGUCCUGUUAUUAGUAUUACCCAUACUCAAAGGUAAGGCAUUAUUUUUUGAGUUUACUAUUCCCACAGAUCACCUAAGGAAUUUAUUAAAAUGUAGAUUCCACCUUCGUAGACCUGAAGAGGGGUCUGAGUUUUUUCAUAACAAGGUCCUAGGAGAUGCCGAACCAGGGUCCCCGUUUUGAAUAACCAAGCACCCCCACACCAGUCCUUUGGAAUCCAAAGCUGCAUUUUUUACCAAGACUAGUGGGUGAAUCUUGGCACAUUAAAGUUUGCAAAACACUGAUACCAUGAUCUAAAGUGAUUGAAAUGUUUGACUGUUCUUUAUUACCACCUGGGAAACUUGAAUAAAAUCUGAUUCCUGGGUCCUAUACUGGACAAAAAAAGUUAGAAAUUGUGUGGUGCAACAGAACCUGGUAACAAUGUAUUUUCAGAACUUCCUGGGUAAGGAAGACAGAAUAAUGGUCCCCUGAAAUUGUCCACAUUCUAAUCCUUGGAACCUGUGAAUAUGCUGCCUUUUGUGGCAAAAGUGACAUUGCAGGUGUGAUUAAUGUUAAAAGUCUUGAAAUGGGGGAGAUUGUCCUGGGUAAUUCAGGUGAAUCCAAUGUAAUCACAUGACUUUUACAAGUGAGAAAUGUUUCCCAACUGAAGAUGGAGACUUGAUGACAGAAGAAGGGCCCGAGAGAUACAACAUCACAAGAUCUCCACCCACUUACUGUUGCUGGCUUUAAAAAUAGGUUAAUGGGGACUCCAACCAAGGAAUGAAGGUAACCUCUAAAAACUGGAAAAGUUAAGGAACUAGAUUUUCUCCUACAGUCUCCAGAAAAGAAUGCAGCUCUGUAGACACCCUGAAUUUAUCCCAGUGUGACUCAUGUUAACCUUCCAGCCUACACAACACUGAUAACACAAAUAUUAUCAUUUGUGUUUUUUCAAGGCACUAUGCCUGUAGUAGUUUGUUAUAGCAGCAAUGGGAAAUUAAUAUACCAGUGGAUAUUAACCCACAACCAUUGCUCUAGGGGUCUAUCAGAAGAAGCCAGCAGAAGGCUUUUGGAGUUUCUUAUACAUAAUAAGGGUUUCUUGGGUCCAAGUGUCCUGCAGAUUCCCAGAAUUUCCUGACCAGCCCAGUCACUCAGAUCUAUGUCUGCCAUACAGGGAUCUCUGAAAGGUUGAGGAACCACUGUGUACCUGUAACUUUGAAACCAGGAAGAUUCUGUGAGAAUUCAAGUCGGACCCUGCCCCUCCGUGGACAUCCCUCCAAUGGCUCUCCGUCAAGCUAAUGUCCUUCCUCUUGCUCUUGAAAGCCUCUCAUGAUCAGCCUUCCAGAAAACAGCCUCAAUUCAACCCAUCAUUUGCUCCCCCAGGGCUUCUGCACCUGUUCUUCCUGCAUUAAAUGCUCUUUGAGUCUGUGUGAGUCAUUCCUCUUCACUUCCUUUGACAUGUAUGAAAUGUUUAUAUUUUCUGCCUUUUACUGGAAAACUUCACCCCCACGCCUACACCCCUUCUAUUUCCCUUCUUUACUUUCUUUUUUUCUUUGUCUCUAGUUCUACUUACUUUCCAGCUUAUGCUAUUUAUGACUGUCUAUUUUUUCCUAUACUGCAAUGUAAGCUCCAGGAGAGCAAUGAGAUUGUCUGAAAUAUCAGCACCUGGAGCACUGAUUGUAUUUUAGGAAUUCG